CUCUCUGCACUAAUCUUGUAGAAAUAUUAGACAAUUAUGGCAAAUCACCAGUCCUCCCUUCUGAGGAAGUUUCUAGAGAUGAACAUACAGGUAAUUGCACAGCCCUCGUUUUCAUGCUCACAGAUAAGCUAUAAUAAUGGCUCAUACCACGUGUGCUAGCAGCUGAGCUAGCUAACUAAAGUUAUCGAGAUUCUAGCCCAACUGACAGGUUGACAGGGUUCACUUGUCCCACCGACAUGUUGACAGGGAAACCAUUCAAGUGAUGAUUGUGUUAGCAUUGUCAUUCUAUCAUUAUCUGCUCAAUUAUUCUUCAUAGGUACACGCACAUAUUC
rnacentral:lncRNA from 1 species